rnacentral:rRNA from 1 species
UACGGGGGGGGCAAGCGUUGUUCGGAUUUACUGGGCGUAAAGGGCGCGUAGGCGGCCACCGCAAGUCAAUUGUGAAAUCUCCGGGCUUAACUCGGAAAGGUCAACUGAUACUGCGGGGCUAGAGUGCGGAAGGGGCAACUGGAAUUCUCGGUGUAGCGGUGAAAUGCGUAGAUAUCGAGAGGAACACCUGCGGCGAAGGCGGGUUGCUGGGCCGACACUGACGCUGAGGCGCGAAAGCCAGGGGAGCGAACGGG